rnacentral:rRNA from 1 species
GCAAGUCGAGGGGUAACAUUGUGCUUGCACAGAUGACGACCGGCGCACGGGUGCGUAACGCGUAUACAAUCUGCCUUUUGCUAAGGGAUAGCCCAGAGAAAUUUGGAUUAAUACCUUAUAGUAUGUUUAGUUCGCAUGGGCUGAAUAUUAAAGAUUACGGCAAGAGAUGAGUAUGCGUCCUAUUAGCUAGAUGGAGUGGUAACGGCACCCCAUGGCGACGAUAGGUAGGGGCCCUGAGAGGGGGAUC